UUUGUAGUCUAUUGUUUAAGAUUUCAACUUAAUUGAAGUGUUUCUCACAAAACCUACACAGUUAUUUACAUUAACAAGCAUGUUAGCCACAUAGUCAAGUCAUAUAUCAUGUAGUUUCAGUGAUCAUGGUUAGAUUUCCUAUAUUUGAUACAUUUUUCAAAUAUCUCAUCCAUGUUCUUAUCAUCACCAUUUUUCUCUUUGAUGGGGUGUAGUAUGAUAAUAACAUGCAACCACACAUAUGUAUAGUUUACACCACAUUAAGAACUUAGUACAUAAAGUUUUCAUGCUUUGCUUAGAGACUUCUAGCAUACAAGGUGCUUUUUGUAACUUAUUUUAUGCCUUUGAAAAUAUUCACAACUUGGUUGAGUAAUUUAUAGUUCUUAUAACACUAUAGCUUUAUUCUUGUAUACAAAAGUGUAACAUUCUUGAUUUUCCUCUCUAUGCCAAAACAGUCCCAACUUGACCUAUUAUGGCAAUCAAGCUUUGCUUGGCCAUUUGGUGCUUUAGUCAGGCUUUGUGUGCAAGGUUAAUUUGGUAAUUAAAAUUACAUCCUAUGUCUAAUCCUUCACUUUUUAUUUUCAAGGUCAAGUAGCUAAUUUAAAACUGCCAUAACAGUUUCUUGUAUUGUGACCUGCUACUGCCUAAAGGCAGAUGUCCCUCUAUACUUUACCAAGAAUCUAUAUUACUUCAUGAGGCUAACAGUUCUUGAGUUUUGACAAUAAGGAACUUAAUUUAGUUUAAAUUAUUCUCAGCUUUAACUGAAUUUGGCAAGCUUAUCACUGCAAUAGCAGUUAAUUGAGGCCACUUCUAUUGUUGACUGCUAGGCAGUCCCAUGAUUUCUUUUUUAUCACAUUUUCAUUCUCAACUUGUAAGCAUACUAUAAAGUCUACAUAUGUUUACAACACCUACUCAAACUACACUGAAUGAUUAGCUUCCUAAAAUUACAACUCUCAACCAAAAUGGUUACCUAGACUGCUUUAGCAGUUACUUGUUAUCAACUGUUGUUGCACAUAGGCAGCAGCCCCCUUCAUCUUGGCCUAUCACUUCAUGUUUUCAUAACCUUUACUACGUUCUUUUAGUACUUUUAGUUUAGACAAGAUUGCCCAAAACCACCUUAGCAACAGCUCAAAGCUGCAGCUUUCAUGCCAACUGUUCCAUAAUCUUGGUUCCCUUGCAAGCCCAGAACAACAGUCCACAGUCUUCUUUUGUCUUUCUAUGCCAGCAACCAAGCUUGGCUUGGCCCUGUGAGGCUGAGCUAAGCUUGGUGUGGCCCUGCUUGGCCUCACGGCCCCUAAGUCAAAUCCAAAGCUGCUAUUGCAGCUGCUAACUUGGCAACUGCUGCCACAAAUGAGCAGUAGUUCUGCCAUUCUUCUUUAACUUUUUAUACUUGCAAACUCCCAAGGAAAGUCUAUAUACCAGGUUAUAAAACUAACUUAAACCAUCCUUGCUAGUAAAGUCAUAUUAAUUUGUUAAAAUAGGCUGGCCAAACUGCUUUAGCAGUCCUUCACUUGUCAACUGCUGCUGCUUGUUUUUAUAACCAGUAGGCAGCAGUCCCAAGUCCUAUGCUAUUACAAAAUCUUUAUUUCUUAGCUUACUAACUGUAACACAAAUGAAACCAGAUGAAAGUAGCUCAAUUACUAAUUUGGCACUGAAGCUUCCUACUGUUACUAGUUGCUUUUGUUGCCAAAGAUAGCAGUUUCUAUUUAUGGUUAGUACUAACUGUUAUAGCUGCUACACACUGCUACCUUUAGUAACAGUCCUUGCCCCUAUUUGUGAACCAAUAGGUCCUAGACAUGCUCAAAGUGUUGUAACUAUUGGUUUGCUCAAGUCUCAUAUUUAGUAGGUCCCUGAGGCCAUCUGCUGCUGCAAUUUAGCAGCAGCCCUUACUUGUUAUUCCAAGCCCAGCCAUCCUUUGGCCUCAGUCUUGCUAGAUUUUUAAGAGCAGGUCUCUUGGCUAAAAUCCUCUAGAGUUUUACAGUUAUCCAAGUGGCCUAUCACAUUAUGUUAAGCUUGAUUCCUUGGUUCAGCCACUGCUCAACACAGUGGACCAAAGGAAUAAUCAAGCUAGGAUUCCAAAAACUAUUAUGUUCUAAGGUUCAACCAACAAGACUGCACUAUACCAAAGUGAAUUAGAGGGCUAAGUGUGUCUAGUAGCUUUCUUGAAUACACUAGAAAUCAAUCUGAGAUUUCCUACUACUACUACUACUACUACUUGACAGCAACCUCUUUUCUUAAGUAUUAAUGUCUUAUAAGUUCUGUGCACCUACUACUUUAGGAGUUUAGAAACUUGCUUUAUUUUUAACUUUAUACACCAUGCCAAGUUCCACAGAUAACUGGACCAAGCUGUUAGCACAGCAGUUAGUUAACAACUGCUAUGCUACUAUGAUGAUAUACUGCUUAAAAUGCUAUUGUUCAAGACAGUAGCAAUAACCCCUUCUCAGCUCUUCCCUCCUAAUACAUAGCUUUAGGACCAAAAGCUUAAUUAUACCCAAGUUGAGAUAUAUAUUACACCUAGCACAUAGAAGUACCUUUAGAACUUAUAGCAAAAAUCAAAUUGAUUUCCACAAACUGUCCCAAAACAGUGUACAAAGGUGAUUGAUAUGCUAGAUUUUUCUACCUUUGGUCUUUUGCUAACAUUUACUUCUUGUUACUAUUUAGUAUGUUUAAUACUCUAACUUGUUGUUUCAGUUUCAAUUGAUCAACUAUAUUCCCUUUUAGAUAUCCCUACUACAAUUCAGUUUCAAUUGGCUGCAUUAACAACCUUGACAGUGGACUUAUCCACCUUUGGCUUUAACUUGAAAUUUCUUAAUAGUUAGGUUCCUUAACUCCCAUUUUACUCUGUACAUUUUCUGUUUGUUCAUGGACAUUCUAACAGGCUAGAGAAGGAGUAUCGGCCACCUAAUAUCCUCCCUACUUUGACUGCACAGAUAGGUUCUUUAGGUAACUUUGAUAUUCCAAGUUUUAGUUCUGUUUUCAUCUUAUCACAUUCCCAACACUCCAUUUAACACCACAUGUAAUAAUUAAAUCCAGCUCCUGCUUAACUGUGGUCUAAUGGUCAGUUUUUGUCAACACAGUCCACUUGGGACUUUUAACAAACAGGUGGUGUGCAUAGUUUUGUGUUAUCAAAUUAACUGCCAUUUGUUUACAUUAUCAAUCCAUGAUAACCUCCUUAUUGCUCCACAGCCCACCUAUCUCCUUGUGCCUAAUUUACAUACAUCACAGUAGCAUGCUAGUGAAUUACCUUUUACAGCAACAACAUAGUAACUAAAAGGAAACACAGUCCUUCAUGACUAUUCUAGGCCAUCCGGCCAUAACAGAUUCUUAGUGGCACAAAAAUGGAAUGGAAAAAGGAUUGAAAAGAGUCAGAAUUAGCUUACCUUUCUGAUGCAAUGACUUCAGAUGAGUUGAGUUGCUUAAUUCCUCCUCCUUCUAUAGCCGAAGCUCUUUCACUCUUACUCUCAGUCAGCUCUCUUUCUUUUUCUUUCUUACUGUGCUAGUCUUGGGGAGUCAGUUAAGGGGUGGAACAUGGAGUUAUAUAACUGAGCUUGAAGUGUCUUAUAUGGCAUAUAUGGCUGAACCUUCUUAUCUCUCAGUCAGUCUACCUGACCCCUUGCAUACACUCCAGUACCUCUAGCAGUUAGACUGCUCUGCAGUGGCUCCUACACAGCCACCCUAACAGACCCUAGCUUACCUGCUAUGCCUUAUCCACUGUAAGCCUAACUCUCCUGCUAGUUGUCUGUUAGCUGAACUAAUCUUACCAACUAAGAAAUAACUUGGAACCUGUAUAACUUGUUAACUAACUAACUAAUGCAACUGAUACAACUAAC
rnacentral:lncRNA from 1 species